AGCGUAGGUGGUUUAUUAAGUCUGGUGUAAAAGGCAGUGGCUCAACCAUUGUAUGCAUUGGAAACUGGUAGACUUGAGUGCAGGAGAGGAGAGUGGAAUUCCAUGUGUAGCGGUGAGAUGCGUAGAUAUAUGGAGGAACACCGGUGGCGAAAGCGGCUCUCUGGCCUGUAACUGACACUGAGGCUCGAAAGGCUGGGAGCAAACA
rnacentral:rRNA from 1 species